rnacentral:lncRNA from 1 species
AAAUAAGGUAAACAAAUAAGGUCUAUUAGUUACCAACUUACAAAUUUAAAUAAUGGUCGAUUCAUGUAGGCUAGUGAGUCAGAUCAUAAUCUGUUGUUUCACACAAUAUGUUACAAACAUACUUAAUGCACAAACCAGAUCUCUAUGGUGUCAAACAUGUAAGCUAUGAACUAUCUCAAAAAAUAUAAGCUAUAAACUAUACAAUCUCUAUCAUUCUAGGGAGUUGCACCAUUCAAAAACAACAAACAAUAUAAUGAGU